GCUCACUGCCGCAGAACAGCUGUCUCUCCUGCCCGGGAAACCGGAUGCAGCUGCCACGGCUGAUUGCCCUGGCCAGAGUGGACUCUGCGUCAUCCUGCUGCUUUGAGUCACCAGCUCCUGAAUCCAAGUCCAGGGAGGAUGCAUCUGUUCUGCUGCUCCAAGUGCCCCUCACUAGGUUGCAAAGGACCUGAAAAAAAGCAGUGAGCAUUUUCAUUACAGAAAAAGAGGACAGAUUCUACUUUAUCAGAAACACAAACUUAAGGAUCAAAUUUAUCUACUGGGCAACAAGAACAACAACAACAAAAGGACAGAAACAACCCCUUUACAUUUAAAAAAAUACAAACAUAACCAGAAUACGUAUUUGCAUGUAAAGAAAAAUCUCUGGCUCUCAAGAAGAAACAAGAUGGCAGAAGUGUGAGACGGAGAAGAGGUUGCUCACCUCACGGGGGUCAGUAAGCAGAAGGUGUCAAACAAGGAGCGACAAACUGAGCUACAUCCUUCCAGGUCUGCCCCUAGUGACCUCUUUUUCUUACCGGACCCCCACCUCCUAACAGCAACCCAGGGAAAAACCGAGAAGAACCCAAAUGACCAACCAAGAGUGCACUAGGGGUCAUUGCCAGGGGCAAAGGGAAGUUGUUUAAGAACAGUUUUCAGUUUUGCAAGAUGAAGUCCUAGAGCUCUGUUGCACAAGAUGGGAAACGGACCCGACGCAGGGAGCAGCUGUUUGAGCGCCCUAAAAUUGAGAUGGAGUCAGUCUCCGGCCCAAAAACAUUAGUUCGUGCGCAGCACCGAAUGAUGGUGAUUUGGAUGGUGGUGACAGGGGUGAUGAUGAUGGCGAUGCUGUUUAAAUUUGAAAUAACGCAACACGAACCACAGCAAGCAGGUAGCUGGGAGAGAAGCCCAGCAUGGGAAGCCCGGAGUUUCUUAGGUCCUUUCCCUCUCAGCCCUCCGGCCUGGGCCCCAGGCCACCUGGAUGGAGCCAGGCAGGGACAGAGAGCCCUCCAGGUGAACAAAAUCUUCUUGCCUGGGGGCAAGAAAGGAGAUCCCAGGGGCUCAGAAUUUUUAAAAAUAAAUAAAUAAAAAG